ACAUAAAAAUGUUCGUCAACUCGUAUAUCUUCAGUAAUAAGGACUGAAAGUUUCUACCAAGUCACCGUAAAUGGCUUGACUACGGGUGUUUAUAUACUACAU
rnacentral:ncRNA from 2 species